CGGGCCCAUCCAUGUGGCCUCGGAGCAAUGUUCCUGGUUUACCAGUGAGCAAGGCGGGGUGCUGGAUGGAUCAAGGCUGGAUGGGCUCCUAACAGCCCCUGGGGACUGGCUGCAGCACCGGAGACAAAAAGCUGAGCAGAAUGCACAGAGGAAUCCAUACAAAAGCAACCUAUUGCCGUGCUGUUUGGCUGCUCUUGGCUGUCGAUGACAAGUGGACUGGUGGUGGUAGGCAGCUCCCAGGGGGAGGAUCUGAAGCACUCUAUCUGUGACACCUCGUUUAAGGAAUCGCUGCAGAGGGGGGAGGCAGGAGGAACUUACUUUGGCCAUGCAGCACCUCUUGUGCUUUACCAGGAACCAGCACCCAUGCUGGCACACUGCAGCCUGGCUUGUUCUGCUCUGAGCUUCCUAGGAGGUGGGCAGCAAGUCUUUCCAUGUACUGCCCCUGCUUUCUAACAUCGAGCAGAGAAAGAGGGAGGGAAAAAGCAACAGCGGAAUAAAAUAGAACAAACUUUUGGAGAAGAAGAGGAA
rnacentral:lncRNA from 1 species